rnacentral:sRNA from 1 species
GCUGCAAAGGUUCGAUUGGGAUACUCAUCAAAUUAGAACUGAAUAUCCGAGAAUGCUUGCCCUGCUCAAUGGCGUGCCGAUACGUUCCCGUAGGGAAUGGGGUCGGAUUACAAAGACUUGGCGGCGCUCAAAUCCUAUUAUUCCCGGAGUUUCAUCACAUCACUGAUGCAGCCUUC